UACGGGGGGGGCAAGCGUUGUUCGGAAUUACUGGGCGUAAAGCGCGCGUAGGCGGGCUGGAAAGUUGGGGUGAAAUCCCGGGGCUCAACCCCGGAAUGGCCUUCAAAACUCCCAGCCUAGAGUUCGAGAGAGGUGAGUGGAAUUCCGAGUGUAGAGGUGAAAUUCGUAGAUAUCGAGAGGAACACCGGCGGCGAAGGCGGCCAUCUGGACGAGGACUGACGCUGAGAUGCGAAAGCGUGGGGAGCAAACAGGAUUAGAAACCCGGGUGAGUCCAG
rnacentral:rRNA from 1 species